GGCCUUGACAUACUAAGAACUUUCCAGAGAUGGAUUGGUGCCUUCGGGAACUUAGAUACAGGUGCUGCAUGGCUGUCGUCAGCUCGUGUCGUGAGAUGUUGGGUUAAGUCCCGNAACGAGCGCAACCUUUUCCUAUUUGCCAGCGGGUCAUGCCGGGAACUUUAAGGAUACUGCCAGUGACAAACUGGAGGAAGGCGGGGACGACGUCAAGUCAUCAUGGCCCUUACGGCCAGGGCUACACACGUGCUACAAUGGUCGGUACAAAGGGUUGCUACCUCGCGAGAGGAUGCUAAUCUCAAAAAGCCGAUCGUAGUCCGGAUCGCAGUCUGCAACUCGACUGCGUGAAGUCGGAAUCGCUAGUAAUCGCGGAUCAGAAUGCCGCGGUGAAUACGUUCCCGGGCCUUGUACACACCGCCCGUCACACCAUGGGAGUUUGGUGCACCAGAAGUAGGUAGUCUAACCGCAAGGAGGACGCUUACCACGGUGUGGCCGAUGACUGGGGUGAAGUCGUAACAAGGUAGGCGUAGAUGA
rnacentral:rRNA from 1 species